rnacentral:rRNA from 1 species
UACGAAGGGGGCUAGCGUUGCUCGGAAUUACUGGGCGUAAAGCGCACGUAGGCGGUCUUUUAAGUCAGAGGUGAAAUCCUGGAGCUCAACUCCAGAACUGCCUUUGAUACUGAGGAUCUUGAGUUCGGGAGAGGUGAGUGGAACUGCGAGUGUAGAGGUGAAAUUCGUAGAUAUUCGCAAGAACACCAGUGGCGAAGGCGGCUCACCUGGCCCGAUACGUGACG